rnacentral:rRNA from 1 species
AUUGAACGCUGGCGGCAUGCUUUACACAUGCAAGUCGAACGGUAACAGGCCGCAAGGUGCUGACGAGUGGCGAACGGGUGAGUAAUGCAUCGGAACGUGCACAGUCGUGGGGGAUAACUACUCGAAAGAGUAGCUAAUACCGCAUACGAUCUAUGGAUGAAAGCGGGGGACCGUAAGGCCUCGCGCGAUUGGAGCGGCCGAUGUCAGAUUAGGUAGUUGGUGGGGUAAAGGCUCACCAAGCCAACGAUCUGUAGCUGGUCUGAGAGGACGACCAGCCACACUGGGACUGAGACACGGCCCAGACUCCUACGGGAGGCAGCAGUGGGGAAUUUUGGACAAAGGGCGCAAGCCUGAUCCAGCAAUGCCGCGUGCAGGAAGAAGGCCUCCGGGUUGUAAACUGCUUUUGUACGGAACGAAACGGCUCUGGUUAAUACCCGGGGCUAAUGACGGUACCGUAAGAAUAAGCACCGGCUAACUACGUG